GAAAUGCGAUAACUAGUGUGAAUUGCAGAAUUCCGUGAAUCAUCGAGUCUUUGAACGCACAUUGCGCCCCCUGGUAUUCCGGGGGGCAUGCCUGUCCGAGCGUCAUUGCUGCCCAUCAAGCACGGCUUGUGUGUUGGGUCGUCGUCCCCUCUCCGGGGGGGACGGGCCCCAAAGGCAGCGGCGGCACCGCGUCCGAUCCUCGAGCGUAUGGGGCUUUGUCACCCGCUCUGUAGGCCCGGCCGGCGCUUGCCGAGCGCAAAUCAAUCUUUUUCCAGGUUGACCUCGGAUCAGGUAGGGAUACCCGCUGAACUUAAGC
rnacentral:misc_RNA from 1 species